UAAUCUAUUCUUCGUGAGAGUCAAUAAUACUUCUUCCAAUUCAUUACUUUCAGCAAUCUAUCAAAAUAUCGUUUGUUCUUGUAUGGUAAAUGUACUGGUCUAAAACAGCCCUAUUCAAAAGCUCUAAACAUGUUUUUCACGGUCUCAAUAAAAUGCUGUCUACCGUAGUCUCUUGCUGGCUUCUUAACUUCUUCUCAACGUCGUUAAACGUGGCAAGUCCAUUUAGAAUAUUGGUGAACUGCCCAUAUUUUAUUUACUUUUUAGCAGUUGCUAUUGUGAGUUUUUGUAGUAAUAUUUUAUUAUUGUUGAAAUUAAUAAAACUGGAAAAAAAAAAAAUACAAAGUUAGCCCACAUAAAGAACGCAAUUCCAACCCAAAUGACGGAGUAAACCUUAAGACGCGUCAAGCUAAUACAAACACAAGUCGUUCACAGCGUCAACCCCACCUCUCCUCCAAUCUUAUAUAAAUGCUUGAAAUGUAAUCAGAGUGAUUAUCACUCUCUAGUAUUAAGAUGGCGGGCGCUAUGCUCUCGUCCACAAUUUUCUAUAUUCUUUUUAUCAUAUUUUCACUGUAUGUUGAUGGUCAUAUGGAACACCGUAAAUUAAGUGGAACAAAAGAGACGAUGACCACGAGGAGGAACUUGGAAAGAAAUGGGAAUUCCGAAAUUACAGCUUCACCGAGCUGGUCACACCACAGUGGACAAAAAAACACUCAACAUAAGCCGUCCAAAAUCCAUCCCGAUCAAGCAGCAAAAACAGCGACAAAAACAACAAGCUAUGUAUAUGCUAAUACUCUGCCAUGCAUCGACGACAGCAUGAAAUGUACGCAUGGAUUCCCCUAGCUAAGGCCCACCCGGAACUUGUCAAUGAACUGGUUAUAACUUCGGGUUCGUAGGUUGUACGUUUUUGUGUGUUUUCUAUUUAUGUGGUUGUCUUUUAUGAAAGCAAUCUAUUUAUGUGGUGUUUCAUUAUUAACUGUGCAAUAAGCAAUUCUUGGAAACUGUAUAUAUUGAGUUAUCCUAUCAUAUCCCUUGUACUGUUUUUUUUUUGGAGAAAAUCCCUUGUAAUUCUUCAUUAUAAAUCUUUUAUAUAAGCACA